rnacentral:tRNA from 1 species
CUGUAGUUCAGUUGGUUAGAGCGUCAGAUUGUGGUUCUGAAUGUCGUGGGUUCGAGUCCCAUCA